rfam:Angiostrongylus cantonensis strain Taiwan genome assembly, scaffold: ACAC_contig0002538
GUGGCGGAUAGGAACCAAUCGAUGCCGCUGUGUCGUCUGGGCCGAAAACCGCCUAAAGCAAUGGUAUAAUAAUGGUCGUAUGUGCAACGUUUUGGUGCAUGUAUAUCACCGAAAUAUCGAACACGU